rnacentral:lncRNA from 10 species
CAGUGAUGAACCACCCUAGGGAUUUAACACUGCCCUCUACUCUUCACGGCAGGCCAGGUUAAGGCAGCUGUCCUCACGGGUAUACACAUGCUUGGGUGCUUGUGCCUGUCAGUUACAGCUCUUUCCACUCUGAUACUCAGACCCUGGACUUAUCUUUGGAGACGGAAAACCUAGAUUCAAAUUCCAGCUUUCCCACAUACUGGCUACAUGACCUACGAAACAUUAAUUUUCCUGGCCAGCCCAAAAAGUCUAUUCAAAGAAUAAUACAGCCGAACAUAACAAGGGUUUGAAAAAGCUACCAACUACAGUUUUCUAAAGCCCAGAUAUUCUUUUCAGAAUCUCUCAUGUCCAUCCCAUGCCACUGUCCCAGUCCACACCUUCAUCCUGGACCACAGCCAUAGUCCCAUACCUGAUUUCAAUUAACCUCUUUGGAAACAUUCUGCAUACCAAGGCAAAAAUGGGAGUUACUGUGCCAUGUAUUGCUCUGCUAUGUACUGGCUGGGGUGACUGAUCCUGCCUACCAAAAGGAAACUGGACUACUACUCCACAACAGAGGAACUGACUCAGUGCAAGAAAACAGCUUUGACUCCCUAUGACUUCGUCUCUGACAUGACCAAUCAGCACUCCUGGCUCACUGACGUCUCCCCACCCACUAAAUUGUCCUUAAAACUCAUCACUGAAUGUUUGGGGAGAUUGAUUUGAGUAAUAAUAAAACUCUAGUUUCC